rnacentral:rRNA from 1 species
UACGUAGGGGGCUAGCGUUGUCCGGAUUUAUUGGGCGUAAAGAGCGUGUAGGCGGCCAGGUAGGUCUGCUGUGAAAACUCGAGGCUUAACCUCGAGAUGUCGGCGGAAACCAUCUGGCUAGAGUCCGGAAGAGGAGAGUGGAAUUCCUGGUGUAGCGGUGAAAUGCGUAGAUAUCGGAAGGAACACCAGUGGCGAAAGCGGCUUCCUGGUCCAGCACCGACGUUCAGGCACGAAAGCGUGGGGAGCAAACAGG